AGGCAGGGAGAUGGGUGGGGGUGAAGGAUGUGGGUAAAUCCAUCUGCCCCCCCCAUGGGAGGUGUCCCCAAGCUGUGGGGCUGGCACAAUUUGUCCCCAGGGAGACGCCAACCCGGAGCGGGAGCCCUCGUAGCCCAUCUCUAUGGGGUCUGGCAGAAACAAGCCUAUAAAUACAUAGGGCAUGGGCUGAGCCACAGCGGGGUGGGGUGGUGUACUGGUGUGGGACUGGGGAGACUGGGAACGCAGCUCCUGGUCCCCGAGGGCUGAGCCUGGCGCAGCUCCAGAGCCGGUGCCCCAGCUCCCCGCGUCUCCAGAGCCUCUUCCCAGCAACUGUGAUUGAAUCAGAAGGGAGCUAAUUUCCCAGCCUGCUGAGACGAUGAGGGAGCUGCUCUGUCCAGCGACAGGGACUGCCCUUGUGCCCGUCACCUCCUGGCUGCCCUUCGUGGCCGGCUCGUCGCUCGCCCCCAUCGCCCGGCACGGAUCAGUCCCCUGGGGAGGGGGGUGCUGUGCCUGGGACCCUUUCUCCCGGGGGGACACGGGGCCGGGUGGCUGUCCCCAAGGCUGGGAUUAACGGGCUCCGUAAGCCA